rnacentral:rRNA from 1 species
CUCGCAAGAGCAAAGCAGGGGACCUUCGGGCCUUGCGCUACCGGAUAUGCCCAGGCGGGAUUAGCUAGUUGGUGAGGUAAGGGCUCACCAAGGCGACGAUCCCUAGCUGGUCUGAGAGGAUGAUCAGCCACACUGGAACUGAGACACGGUCCAGACUCCUACGGGAGGCAGCAGUGGGGAAUAUUGCACAAUGGGCGCAAGCCUGAUGCAGCCAUGCCGCGUGUAUGAAGAAGGCCUCCGGGUU